GGGGUGCAUUUAUGGAAACUGCAAAAAUAUUUGUAUAAGUUUUAACUUUUUCAACCACACCCAAUCACGAUCACGUGGGACGUGACGUGUACGACACAUAAAAACGUUAUCACGCGAGAUUUCCUUCCUUCUUCUCUGGGAGGUAGCGAAAGGCAGACAGGAAUUUUCCUGUAACCAUGCAGUUUAAGUUUGUCUUGUUAUAUUUAUGUAUAAAUCCUGAGUUUGCUGCAGAUGACCCGCCAUGAGCAGGUUCGGAUGAUGCAGAGGGACGCCCAUCUUCCCGCAGGCCACACGGCGAAGUUUUUUCUUGAUGAAAGAUUCGUGGUUCGUCUGUUCUCCUUCCCGCUGAGGGCCAAAAGGAGGAUCCACAGUGUAAAGAUGCUGCAGUAACAAAUAAGAUUGAUGGAUGGUUCUGAAGACGGCAGGUCCUGAACAGAUGGAGGCGGCGUGGACGCAGAAUCAGCGGACACAGCAUUGUGGCAUAUUGCUCACGUGACAGUUUGGACCCAGAAACUUAACCACUUAACCGGAUAUUAAAGAUGAAUGCCAUGUUAAACCUAAAACAUGUUUUUAAUAAAACUAAGAUUUGGUAUAAAAUGUAAUUCCACAUUCAAAUAUAGAAAAUAACAACUCCAGAUAUGCUGGGAGAAGGCCCAGCAUGUGUUGGUCAAUCUGUGUUGAACGAUGUUCUGUAAGAUUUCUUUUUCAGAUUUUCUAGAAAGAACUGCUCCUCUUGGAGAUAUUCACGGUCCUGUGGGCAGAAAAAGAUGGACAGUCACAAAUUUGAACGCUUAAAUACUUCAUAAAUAAUUGCAGUCAUUGCUGGCCAAAGUGUGACUAUAUUUAAAAGCUGUGUGAAUUGAAUCGAGUUUCCAAAUCACAAUAAAAGCCUAUAUUCUA